GUAUUGGACAACCAUGGCUUUAACGGGUAACGGAGGAUUAGGGUUCGAUUCCGGAGAGGGAGCCUGAGAAACGGCUACCACAUCUAAGGAAGGCAGCAGGCGCGUAAAUUACCCAAUCCUGACCCAGGGAGGUAGUGACAAGAAAUAACGGACCGAGGCUCAUGCUUCGGGAUUGCAAUGAGUAGAAUUUAAACCCCUUUACGAGGGUCAAUUGGAGGGCAGGUCUGGUGCCAGCAGCCGCGGUAAUUCCAGCUCCAAUAGCGUAUAUUAAAGUUGUUGCAGUUAAAAAGCUCGUAGUUGGAUUUCUGGGAGGGCGCCAAUGUCCGCUCGUUCGCGUGUGCAGCGGCGCCCUUCCAUCCUUCUGUUACGUUUCUUGGUAUUCAGUUACUGGUUUCGGGCUCAGAUAUUUUACCUUGAGAAAAUUAGAGUGUUCCAGGCAGGCUUGCGCAGGAAUACAUUAGCAUGGAAUAAUAGAAUAGGACUUUAGUCUCCUUUGUUGGUUUGAGGGACUGAAGUAAUGAUUAAUAGGGAUAGUUGGGGGCAUUAGUAUUUAAUUGUCAGAGGUGAAAUUCUCGGAUUUGUUAAAGACUAACUUAUGCGAAAGCAUUUGCCAAGGAUGUUUUCA
rnacentral:rRNA from 1 species